UACGAAGGGGGCUAGCGUUGUUCGGAAUCAUUGGGCGUAAAGAGCGUGUAGGCGGCCCGGUAAGUCCGCUGUGAAAGUCGGGGGCUCAACCCUCGAAUGCCGGUGGAUACUGUCGGGCUAGAGUGCGGAAGAGGCGAGUGGAAUUCCUGGUGUAGCGGUGAAAUGCGCAGAUAUCAGGAGGAACACCUAUUGCGAAGGCAGCUCGCUGGGACGUAACUGACGCUGAGACGCGAAAGCGUGGGGAGCAAACAGG
rnacentral:rRNA from 1 species